GAUGAACGCUGGCGGCGUGCCUAAUACAUGCAAGUCGAGCGAACAGACGAGGAGCUUGCUCCUCUGACGUUAGCGGCGGACGGGUGAGUAACACGUGGAUAACCUACCUAUAAGACUGGGAUAACUUCGGGAAACCGGAGCUAAUACCGGAUAAUAUAUUGAACCGCAUGGUUCAAUAGUGAAAGACGGUUUUGCUGUCACUUAUAGAUGGAUCCGCGCCGCAUUAGCUAGUUGGUAAGGUAACGGCUUACCAAGGCAACGAUGCGUAGCCGACCUGAGAGGGUGAUAGGCCACACUGGAACUGAGCCACGCUCCAGACUACUAAGGGAGGCAGCAGUAGGGAAGCUUCCGCAAUGGGCGAAAGCCUGACGGAGCAACGCCGCGUGAGUGAUGAAGGUCUUCGGAUCGUAAAACUCUGUUAUUAGGGAAGAACAAAUGUGUAAGUAACUAUGCACGUCUUGACGGUACCUAAUCAGAAAGCCACGGCUAACUACGUG
rnacentral:rRNA from 1 species